UAAACGAGCUGCUUAUAAGGAAGUUCUUAAGGAUUUUGCAGAGAUCAAAAUUUUAAAAAGGAAGCUGGCAUUGUCUCUUAGUCGUGAGGAGACUAAUUCUAAUUCUGUCAAGCUCAGCAAAGAUGCUUUCACAAGAUUUUCU